AGUCGCGUGAGGGAUGAAGGUUCUAUGGAUCGUAAACCUCUUUUAUAGGGGAAUAAAGUGCGGGACGUGUCCCGUUUUGUAUGUACCUUAUGAAUAAGGAUCGGCUAACUCCGUGCCAGCAGCCGCGGUAAUACGGAGGAUCCGAGCGUUAUCCGGAUUUAUUGGGUUUAAAGGGUGCGUAGGCGGCCUUUUAAGUCAGCGGUGAAAGUCUGUGGCUCAACCAUAGAAUUGCCGUUGAAACUGGGAGGCUUGAGUAUGUUUGAGGCAGGCGGAAUGCGUGGUGUAGCGGUGAAAUGCUUAGAUAUCACGCAGAACCCCGAUUGCGAAGGCAGCCUGCCAAGCCAUGACUGACGCUGAUGCACGAAAGCGUGGGGAUCAAACAGGAUUAGAUACCCUGGUAGUCCACGCAGUA
rnacentral:rRNA from 1 species